rnacentral:rRNA from 1 species
AGAACGAACGCUGGCGGCAUGCCUAACACAUGCAAGUCGAACGCUCUUGGUUUCGGCCAAGGGAGUGGCGCACGGGUGAGUAACGCGUGGGAACCUGCCCUGGAGUGGGGGAUAACCGAGGGAAACCUCGGCUAAUACCGCAUACGACCUGAGGGUGAAAGAUUUAUCGCUCUAGGAGGGGCCCGCGUCGGAUUAGCUAGUUGGUGAGGUAACGGCCCACCAAGGCUAUGAUCCGUAGCUGGUCUGAGAGGAUGAUCAGCCACACUGGGACUGAGACACGGCCCAGACUCCUACGGGAGGCAGCAGUGGGGAAUAUUGGACAAUGGGCGCAAGCCUGAUCCAGCAAUGCCGCGUGAGUGAUGAAGGCCUUAGGGUGUAAAGCUCUUUCACACGCGACGAUGAUGACGGUAGCGUGAGAAGAAGCCCGGCUAACUUCGUGCCAGCAGCCGC